AAUCCUUUAGAGAUAGAGGAGUGCUCGAAAGAGAGCCGUAACACAGGUGCUGCAUGGCUGUCGUCAGCUCGUGUCGUGAGAUGUUGGGUUAAGUCCCGCAACGAGCGCAACCCUUGCCAUUAGUUGCUACGAAAGGGCACUCUAAUGGGACUGCCGGUGACAAACCGGAGGAAGGUGGGGAUGACGUCAAGUCCUCAUGGCCCUUAUAGGUGGGGCUACACACGUCAUACAAUGGCUGGUACAGAGGGUUGCCAACCCGCGAGGGGGAGCCAAUCCCAUAAAGCCAGUCGUAGUCCGGAUCGCAGUCUGCAACUCGACUGCGUGAAGUCGGAAUCGCUAGUAAUCGCGGAUCAGCAUGUCGCGGUGAAUACGUUCCCGGGUCUUGUACACACCGCCCGUCACACCAUGGGAGUGGGUUCUACCAGAAGUAGUUAGCCUAACCGUAAGGAGGG
rnacentral:rRNA from 1 species